rnacentral:rRNA from 1 species
GACGAACGCUGGCGGCGUGCUUAGCACAUGCAAGUCGAACGGAAAGGCCCUGCUUUUGUGGGGUGCUCGAGUGGCGAACGGGUGAGUAACACGUGAGUAACCUGCCCUUGACUUUGGGAUAACUUCAGGAAACUGGGGCUAAUACCGGAUAGGAGCUCCUGCUGCAUGGGGGGGGUUGGAAAGUUUCGGCGGUUGGGGAUGGACUCGCGGCUUAUCCGCUUGUUGGUGGGGUAGUGGCUUACCAAGGCUUUGACGGGUAGCCGGCCUGAGAGGGUGACCGGCCACAUUGGGACUGCGAGACGGACCAGACUCCUACGGGAGGCAGCAGUGGGGAAUAUUGCACAAUGGGCGGAAGCCUGAUGCAGCAACGCCGCGUGCGGGAUGACGGCCUUCGGGUUGUAAACCGCUUUCGCCUGAGACGAAGCGGGAGUGACGGUAAUGAGUAAAGAAGCACCGGCUAACUACGUG